UGGUCCGAUGGUAGUGAGUUAUC
rnacentral:piRNA from 1 species